GGAGUAGCUCAGUGGUAGAGCAUGAGUUUUGCAUGCAGAAGGUCCCAGGUUCAUUCCUGGGCAUCUCCA